rnacentral:tRNA from 1 species
CCUGAUGACUCAGUGAUAAAGAAUCUGCCUGCAAUGCAGAAGAUGUGGGUUCGAACCCUCGGUCAGGA